AAUGAACGUUGGCGGCGUGGAUUAGGCAUGCAAGUCGUGCGUGUACCCCGCAAGGGGGAAAGCGGCGUAAGGGAGAGUAAUCCGUAGAUACGUGCCUUCAGGUCUGGGAUAGCCACGGGAAACUGUGGGUAAUACCGGAUAAUGUCUAAGGACCAAAGAUGUGAUUUCACCUGAAGAUCGGUCUGCGUCUUAUCAGCUUGUUGGUGAGGUAACGGCUCACCAAGGCUUUGACGAGUACGGGGUGUGAGAGCAUGCCCCCGCUCACUGGGACUGAGACACUGCCCAGACACCUACGGGUGCUG
rnacentral:rRNA from 1 species